rnacentral:rRNA from 1 species
GACGAACGCUGGCGGCGUACUUAACACAUGCAAGUCGAACGGAAAGGCCCUGCUUUUGUGGGGUGCUCGAGUGGCGAACGGGUGAGUAACACGUGAGUAACCUGCUCUUGACUUUGGGAUAACUUCAGGAAACUGGGGCUAAUACCGGAUAGGAGCUCCUGCUGCAUGGUGGGGGUUGGAAAGUUUCGGCGGUUGGAGAUGGACUCGCGGCUUAUCAGCUUGUUGGUGGGGUAGUGGCUUACCAAGGCUUUGACGGGUAGCCGACCUGAGAGGGUGACCGGCAACAUUAGGACUGAGAUACGGCCCAGACUCCUACGGGAGGCAGCAGUGGGGAAUAUUGCACAGUGGGCGGAGGCCUGAUGCAGCAACGCCGCGUGCGGGAUGACGGCCUUCGUGUUGUAAACCGAUUUCGCCUGUAACGAAGCGUGAGUGACGGUAAUGGGUAAAGAAGCACCGGCUAACUACGUG